rnacentral:rRNA from 1 species
AGGAUGAACGCUAGCGGGAGGCUAACACAUGCAAGCCGAGCGGUAUUUGDNABASNRDNMNVNRSNNNNNRDNRNNWAUWWWNDNABASNRNCNMUNRNMNVNUHNSNNMNUAUNNNGAAGAUUAAUACCCCAUAAUAUAUAGAGUGGCAUCACUUGUAUUGAAAGCUCCGGCGGAUAGAGAUGGGCACGCGCAAGAUUAGAUAGUUGGUAGGGUAACGGCCUACCAAGUCGAUGAUCUUUAGGGGGCCUGAGAGGGUGAUCCCCCACACUGGUACUGAGACACGGACCAGACUCCUACGGGAGGCAGCAGUGAGGAAUAUUGGACAAUGGGUGAGAGCCUGAUCCAGCCAUCCCGCGUGAAGGACGACUGCCCUAUGGGUUGUAAACUUCUUUUGUACAGGGAUAAACCUAGAUACGUGUAUCUAGCUGAAGGUACUGUACGAAUAAGCACCGGCUAACUCCGUGCCAGCAGCCGCGGUAAUACGGAGGGUGCAAGCGUUAUCCGGAUUUAUUGGGUUUAAAGGGUCCGUAGGCGGGCCUGUAAGUCAGUGGUGAAAUCUCACAGCUCAACUGUGAAACUGCCAUUGAUACUGCAGGCCUUGAGUGAAUUUGAAGUGGCUGGAAUAAGUAGUGUAGCGGUGAAAUGCAUAGAUAUUACUUAGAACACCGAUUGCGAAGGCAGGUCACUAAGAUUCAACUGACGCUGAUGGACGAAAGCGUGGGGAGCGAACAGGAUUAGAUACCCUGGUAGUCCACGCCGUAAACGAUGCUAACUCGUUUUUGGGCUUUCGGGCUCAGAGACUAAGCGAAAGUGAUAAGUUAGCCACCUGGGGAGUACGUUCGCAAGAAUGAAACUCAAAGGAAUUGACGGGGGCCCGCACAAGCGGUGGAUUAUGUGGUUUAAUUCGAUGAUACGCGAGGAACCUUACCAAGGCUUAAAUGGGAAUUGACCGGUCUAGAAAUAGACCUUCCUUCGGGCAAUUUUCAAGGUGCUGCAUGGUUGUCGUCAGCUCGUGCCGUGAGGUGUUAGGUUAAGUCCUGCAACGAGCGCAACCCCUGUCACUAGUUGCCAUCAUUCAGUUGGGGACUCUAGUGAGACUGCCUACGCAAGUAGAGAGGAAGGUGGGGAUGACGUCAAAUCAUCACGGCCCUUACGCCUUGGGCCACACACGUAAUACAAUGGCCGGUACAGAGGGCAGCUACACAGCGAUGUGAUGCAAAUCUCGAAAGCCGGUCUCAGUUCGGAUUGGAGUCUGCAACUCGACUCUAUGAAGCUGGAAUCGCUAGUAAUCGCGCAUCAGCCAUGGCGCGGUGAAUACGUUCCCGGGCCUUGUACACACCGCCCGUCAAGCCAUGGAAGUCUGGGGUACCUGAAGUCGGUGACCGUAACAGGAGCUGCCUAGGGUAAAACAGGUAACUAGGGCUAAGUCGUAAGGGG